CACUUUCAGUUGUUUAUUUUUACUACAUCUGCAAAAAAUAAUAAGAAUGUUUUUGCUUUGUCAUUAUGGGGUAUUGUGUGUAGAUUGAUGAAGGAAAAAAUGGUGUAAUCGAUUUUAUAAUAAGGCUGUAAUGUAAUAAAAUGUGGAAAAGGACAAGAAGAAGUCUGAAUUCUUUCUGAAUGCACUGUAAACUCCCAGCCUACUCAGCCUGUCUUUUCUAACUUCCUGUUAGUUAGCCAUGAGAGAAAAAGUAACACAAAUAUAUAGGCCUGUAAUGUGUUGUUUUCUUAACCAGGAGGCUUAAAUGAAUGUGUAAAGCUUUGAGUUUAGGCUGUCCUUAUUUAUUUGUUUUACAUUUAGGCUACAUAUAGCCUAGCAUGUUGUUCUUGAGGCAUUUAAAUUAAUAUGUUCCCAAAUACAAAUCAACCUUUGAAAUACUGUUAUUCCUUAACCUCGUACAUCUAAAACUGUCAAUCACCAUCAUCACCAUCAUCAUCAUCAUCAUCAUGUAAUGAAUCGCUGGUACGUGACAGGAAAGUACCGUAGUUUCCUGCGGUUGGGUCCGUAGCAAAACUAUUGGUUGAUCAGUAGGCUAUUCUAGAAGACGUUACCAUACAGACAGACUAGACGUGGAGCUCUCGACCACUCAACGGUGUUAGAAACCAUCAGAAAGGUGUAAUAAAUUAGUUUUAAGGAUUAUUAUAAAGUAGUUGCAACGGUAAACGAACUGAAAAUGGGGAGAAAGAGGACAAGGAAAAUCAUAAUUCUCAGAGGACUCCCCGGAUCAGGGAAGACAAGUCGGGCAAGUAAUAUCUUGGAGAUGUAUGGUUCUGGAGAAGCCUUCAGCACAGACGACUACUUCAGGGUGGACGGGAAGAUGGUUGGGUUCCGCGAUACAUCCCUGAACAAAGCUCAUGUAUGGAACCGCAAAAGAGGUAGGUAUAGGAUUGACUGGUUAAUAUGUUUAUCGAUUCAUUUAUUAAUUCAUUUAUUGAUCUAUUAAUUUAUUGUAUUAGAUUUCCAAAACACUAUAUCUACCAAUUUCUCACAUUUGUGUUUAUUUUUAAAUCAGAAAUUUAUGCUCAUGGGCAUUCUGUGUCAAAUAUUGCUGUCCUCAGAUUUUUUUAUUCAUAGAUGUUAGAUGUGUAUGACAAUUGGUUUGGUUCCAAACACUAUGUAUCCAUUGUCUAGUUGGAAUUUAAUGUUUGUUUGCUGUAUAUUUAACAUACACGCUUAGAAAAAAGGCUUCCAAAAGUUUUUUUUAGGGUUCUACGAAGAACUGUUUUGAUCAGAAGGACACAUUUUGGAAGACAAGGGUUCUUAGUAAGGCAAAGGGUUCUACCUAGAACCUUUAAUAUCAUAAGAACUGUUUUUGAAAGAAAGGGUUCUUUGAUGAUUCUUUGGAAGGCAAGAAGGGUUCUACAUAGAACCAUAUGAAAUAUUUCCCAGCAUGCUCUAUUGAAGGGAGAUUUUCACAAUUGUUUGUUUAACUGUAAUAGCUGUGUUUUUUCAUGUACAUUGAUUGGUUGAUUAAUUUUAUGCUACACGGAAAUAUAAAUAACAUACAGUUUCAUAGAGGGUUCUAUGUAGAACCAUAUACUGUACAGGGGGUUCUUUGAAGAACCCUACAUAGAGAGUUCUAGAUAGAACCCUCUGCAAAGGGUUCUACUCUCUAUGGGGAAAAAUCAAAGAACCCUGUAUGGUUCUAGUUAGCACCUUGAGUGUAUAAAUUCAACUCAUCAUAAAUCUAGCCUCAUUCUAUAGUGAUUGUUUGUCUCUGAAAUGACGCCAUCUGGCGGUAGGUUUCAAACUAAUACAUGUCUGUAAUUUAAAAACAAACUUUUAUUUAACCUUUCUUUAACUAGACAAGUGUUUUAACAACCCCAUGC
ensembl:lncRNA